rnacentral:rRNA from 1 species
UGAAGAAAAAGCAUCGGCUAACUCCGUGCCAGCAGCCGCGGUAAUACGGAGGAUGCAAGCGUUAUCCGGAAUCAUUGGGCGUAAAGGGUCCGCAGGUGGCGAAUAAAGUCUGCUGUUAAAGACCGGGGCUAAACUCCGGAAAGGCAGUGGAAACUGAUUAGCUAGAGUACGGUAGGGGUAGAGGGAAUUCCCAGUGUAGCGGUGAAAUGCGUAGAUAUUGGGAAGAACACCGGUGGCGAAAGCGCUCUACUAGGCCGAAACUGACACUGAGGGACGAAAGCUAGGGUAGCGAAAGGGAUUAGAUACCCCUGUAGUCUUAGCGGUAAACGAUGGAUACUAGGUGUAGCUUGUAUCGACCCGAGCUGUGCCGAAGCUAACGCGAUAAGUAUCCCGCCUGGGGAGUACGCACGCAAGUGUGAAACUCAAAGGAAUUGACGGGGGCCCGCACAAGCGGUGGAGUAUGUGGUUUAAUUCGAUGCAACGCGAAGAACCUUACCAGGGCUUGACAUGUCGCGAAUCUAGCGGAAACGUUAGAGUGCCUUAGGGAAUGCGAACACAGGUGGUGCAUGGCUGUCGUCAGCUCGUGUCGUGAGAUGUUGGGUUAAGUCCCGCAACGAGCGCAACCCUCGUCCUUAGUUGCCAAUAUUAAGUUAGGCACUCUAGGGAGACUGCCGGGGACAACUCGGAGGAAGGUGGGGAUGACGUCAAGUCAGCAUGCCCCUUACGUCCUGGGCGACACACGUACUACAAUGGUUGGGACAAAGGGCAGCAAACUCGCGAGAGUAAGCGAAUCUCAUCAAACCCAGCCACAGUUCAGAUUGCAGGCUGCAACUCGCCUGCAUGAAGUGGGAAUCGCUAGUAAUCGCAGGUCAGCAUACUGCGGUGAAUUCGUUCCCGGGUCUUGUACACACCGCCCGUCACACCAUGGAAGCUGGCUACGCCCGAAGUCGUUACCCUAACCCGGUUUUGGGAGGGGGAUGCCGAAGGUAGAGCUAGUGACUGGGGUGAAGUCGUAACAAGGUAGCCGUACCGGAAGGUGUGGCUGGAUCACCUCCUUU